CUUCUCUCUCUCUCUCUCCCUCGCUCUCUAAUUCCAUCGCAAGAUCUCGACCUCUCCCUCGCUCUGCGCAGAUUCGGUGUGGCUGUACCGCCGAGCUAGCCUGGGUCGAGCCUCUCCCUCUCUCGGCCUCUCUAUAAUCGUGCACCUUGGAUCAGAAAGGGGAGGCUAGGGAAUGUGUGUAUAAUUUGGAAAUGGAUUCUGACAUUAUAAACUAGUGAUCCUGCUUCCAGAUUUAUUUCGUGGAAUCUAGGCUUACAAAUACGUGACACCAUCGACAAAGGCAUUACUUUGGCCCAACCCAACCCGCCGAACUGGUGAUGGAUUUUGUGCCUUCUUGGCUUGAUUGGUACAAGAAAACCAUCUUGAAUCCUCGUCCGUCAAACCCAGGCAUGGUACUGAGCACUUGGAGAUCUUGGCCAACCAUGUCAGUUAUACUAAGGCAGCACUAUUGUAAACCCCCCCCCCCCAAAAAAAAAGGGAUAACGGGCCGGCCUGAAAAGACCGGGCCCGUCUCCCUUUUACGAUCGUGCCCUAGGCACGAUCGUGGAUGGAAGAGGAGGAGGGUGCAAAGGGGAGGCGGCGGCGGCGUUGGAGAGGCGAUUCGCCGGAGGAGACCGAGCGCCGGAGAAGUUCCGAGAUCCGGCCGGCCGCGGAGGGGGGGGGGGGGAGAAGCCUUCCUUUUUCCUUCGGUAAGACCCUCCACAAGAGAGGAUUUUCUCCUUUGAUUUUCCACCGGAAAGGCCGCCGGAGUAUCCCCCACCGGACCAAGAGGAAGAGUCGGCGGUGCCAGGAGAUUUUGAUCAGGGGACUCAGCACCCCAGCGCGUAGGUUGUGAUUCGGAUUCGUGUUUAAGUCAGUCUACAAUCUCUAUUAUGAGCUUUUGAUGAUGACCUCACGAAGGAAUCAACAGGAAAUUUCAUUUCAGUAAUGUGAUGUAGCUGUGCUGGUUGAAGAAUGUUUAAAUAUUUUUAAUAUAAUUUAAAUACCGUGGUUUGGAACAAUAUACAUCGGCAGUUCGAG